UCCCUUCCCUCCGGCACCACAGCUGAGCACUCUGAACUGGGGAGCGGAGACGGAGGAGGCAGGCACACCGGCGGCGAGGGUUAGGAAUAGGAAUAGGAAUAGGAUAGGAGGGAGAAUGCUGCGUCAAGCCUGCCCCCGCUCCACCCCCAGCCCUGCCCUCUACCCGCGGUGCGGCGACGGGGCCAAGUCACCCCUCGCUCGCCGUGGCUGCCGCGAAGUGGACUCCCGGCCGGCGGCGAGCUUCUCUGUCUUGUUGUCAUGGCUUCAGCAAUACUAGCAUACCCCAUUCACCAUGCCAUGACGCUGCUUCGAUCUUUUAGAUUUUGGAAGCGCACAAGGAGGACGCCACAAGUCCAAAUCAGGCCGUCUCUACAUCUACAAGUCACAGGUUCUCUUUCUUGUCGUUGAUGGCUUCAACAAGACUAGCAUGCCCCAUUCACCUCUCCAUGACACUGCUUUGAUGUCUUAAUCUUGAAGCGCACCACAAGUCCAAAUCUGUCCGGCUCUACAUCUACA